ensembl:snRNA U1 U1 spliceosomal RNA
GUACUUAAAUGGCAGAGCAGUACCACAAUUAUGAGUGUGGUUUCCCACGGGGAGGCUUAUCCAUCCCUCUCCUGCAAUUUCCCCAAGUGUGGGAAACAUGACUGCAUAAAUUUUGGUGUCGGGGGAUUGCCAUCACAACCUCCCU